GGGCCCGCACAAGCGGUGGAGCAUGUGGUUUAAUUCGAUGAUACGCGAGGAACCUUACCAGGGCUUAAAUGUAAGUUGCAUAAGUUAGAGAUAGCUUUUUCUUCGGACUACUUACAAGGUGCUGCAUGGUUGUCGUCAGCUCGUGCCGUGAGGUGUCAGGUUAAGUCCUAUAACGAGCGCAACCCCUGUUGUUAGUUGCCAGCGAGUAAUGUCGGGAACUCUAGCAAGACUGCCGGUGCAAACCGUGAGGAAGGUGGGGAUGACGUCAAAUCAUCACGGCCCUUACGUCCUGGCUACACACGUGCUACAAUGGCAGUGACAAUGGGUUAAUCCCCAAAAGCUGUCU
rnacentral:rRNA from 1 species